rnacentral:lncRNA from 1 species
GAGGCGGUGCAGCUACCGCGCCGUGUUGUCCUCUGUCUGCACCGCCGCUGACGGAAAGCUAGGCCCUUCUGGAGACCCGCUUUCCCAAGGGCGCGGCCUCCUGGGCCGGGAUGCACGAGGAAAAAUAAUCCCCUGCCUUUCUUCGGUAGCUGUUUUCCAGUCCACAGCACCACUGCUGAACCGAGCGUUACUGAGUAGCGUUCUUUGCCUUCACCCCUCCCUUCCUCUACCACUUGUCCACUCUCGAGGUUUAACUAAGAAGUCAUACUUUACUAGACAACCCAAUCUCAGAAGUCGUCAUUUCCCCCUUAGCUACUUGAAUAGUACCUGGCACCUCUUGCUUCCUCCAUUAACUACUCCCUCGGGCAGCGACGUCCCUCCUUUCCCUCUUCUCUCCCGAUUAGAGCCACUACGGGCCGUGCCUUCCUCUUCCACGGGAGCUCUAUCUUGGUACACCCAGAACCACCUCCCUCCCUAACCCGCUGCCACACUCGUGGGGGUCUCUACCUGUCUCCUCUUGAUCCAGAACUACUUGGCUACAGAAUACUUUGAUCCUGGCCCUUCUGUGACUGCUCCCUGAUGGAAUAUUUGGACAAAAUCCCAACACUGAAUUAAGAUGAAGGUAUGCUGUAAUGUCUUAUAUGAAAAAUAACAUCAGAUCAAGGUCUCUCUUUUCUUUCAUUUUAAAAAAUUUUGUACUGCUCAUACCAUAUGGGGAAAUGGGCCUGCCCUCAAGUAACUGCUUCUUUUGAAUCUUUUCAGUAGCUCAAACUUGAACUCAGGCAUCAGUUCUUUGUAAGGCUAAAAGAACACGGCCUCUAAGUACCAAAUUAGUCAUUCACAUGAGCCAAGUAAUCAACUAAGAAUCCUUGGUACUUUCCUUGGACUAGCUGCAAGCCUAUAGUCCAAAGAUCACUGAUCUCUAACUUAGGAAAGGCCAAAAGGUACUUAAUACCUGCUCCAUAGUUUUAGAAGUAACUGAAGUCAUGAAAUAAAAGGUGCUCAUGAGUCUUCUGGAUGUAUGUCAGCAAUUCAGUUAAUUCACUGAAGAAAAAAAAAUACAUGUAAAUAUUUACUUUCAUUAACUCUAUACUCGGCAAUUUUACAGCAAAGAACAUAUAAUAAGAGGUGUUCACCCAAAAUGGAGAUUAAUGCAGUUAACACUGACAGGUUUAUACUAAGGUACAAAAACAAGUGCUUGACUUAGAAAUUUAACUUUAUUUACAAAUGUUCUCCUAUAAACAAAGAUGCCAUUCUACACCUUUAAAAUAUUGUAACUGAUAAUUUCC